rnacentral:rRNA from 1 species
GACGAACGCUGGCGGCGUGCUUAACACAUGCAAGUCGAGCGGUAAGGCCUUUCGGGGUACACGAGCGGCGAACGGGUGAGUAACACGUGGGUGAUCUGCCCUGCACUCUGGGAUAAGCCUGGGAAACUGGGUCUAAUACUGGAUAUGACCUCAGCAUGCAUGUGCUGGGGUGGAAAGCUUUUGUGGUGCAGGAUGGGCCCGCGGCCUAUCAGCUUGUUGGUGGGGUAAUGGCCUACCAAGGCGACGACGGGUAGCCGACCUGAGAGGGUGACCGGCCACACUGGGACUGAGACACGGCCCAGACUCCUACGGGAGGCAGCAGUGGGGAAUAUUGCACAAUGGGCGGAAGCCUGAUGCAGCGACGCCGCGUGAGGGAUGAAGGCCUUCGGGUUGUAAACCUCUUUCAGCAGGGACGAAGCGUGAGUGACGGUACCUGCAGAAGAAGCACCGGCUAACUACGUGCCAGCCGCCGCGGUAAUAC